UUUGAGACAUUCCCAACGAAAAUCUAAACAUUUCCUAGACUCUCAUCCUAUCUGAUCAAUAUGUUAUCCAACCAUAUCAAAGUGAAAGUUGUUGCGCAAUAAAAAAUUUCCAGGUUAUUUGAUGCCUACUGUCUCAGUACGUCAAACAUUGGUGCAGCAUUUUGCAAAUAAUUGAUAUGGGUCAUAAUUACUUCACUGAAUGUAUUAAUGGCCACGUUCCCUAAAGUUGUCGAGUUUUUGCCAACAUACUGCUAAGAUAUAAUGAUAUAUCAAGAGGUCAAUGAUCAUCCAAGCCAUAUAGUCCGAAAACUAAAGGACAAACUUAGAAUCCCAUAUACUCUUGGAUUAGUCCCCUUUUUAUUAAAAAUAAAAAUAUGUAUUGUGGAAGAUUAUUAACUAGCCCAACUAAUCCAUUACAUAAUAACUAUAGAAAAUAUCAGUCAUGUGACCAAAAAAUAGUCUACCAGCAAUCUCCUAGUCCUCAGUCAUGGAAGAUCUCUUUUAUUUUCUUCUUCUUUAUACAAUCUAUUUAAAAUAAACUAUUUUAUUCACACAUUACAACUUGUGAUGCAUAUAGGAAGAACAUGGUACAUAUGCACAAGAGUGCAGGAUCGGAUAAUUUUUUGCUGAGUUGAGCUUCCAAUGGAAGUAGUCUAGACAGAACUGAAAUUUGUGAAAAUACAAAAGAUUCCACUAGAGAAUCUCAUACCCUAUAAAAGUAUAGAAAAUAUCAUCCCUUUAAUUAGUUUAAAUAGAUAAGAUGAAAGCAUACCCAAAAUCUGUUGAAUCACUUGACAGACAUAGGAGAAGUGAGCACUACUUGCAUAUCACCCCUAACUAGUUAUAGUAACUUAUGAUAUUGUGGUGUUGUUUCAUGUGUGCACUUGAUGUGAAUGCAGAAGAUGAUGGAGGUUGAUGUGCAUCUCCUGACAGCAGCGACUCGAAGGUCCUCAUAAACAACGUGAAAUCAUGGUUUACUAUUAGAGUUAUAGCUAAGAAAUCAUGAGUAUCAAUGUCUCUUCCAUCUCCAUUUCCUACUCCUCCUUUCAGGCUCUGGUUCUAAGUGGAUGCAGGGUACAUCGUAUAUAAAUAAAAAAUGUAGUAAAGGCCACGUGGUUUUAUGGGGUUCUGAGCAGAGUGUAUAAACUAUGUACUACCAAGAGCCCCC
rnacentral:lncRNA from 1 species